rnacentral:rRNA from 1 species
UACGUAGGGGGCAAGCGUUGUCCGGAAUCAUUGGGCGUAAAGCGCGUGUAGGCGGCUUGGUAAGUCCGUUCUGAAAGCCCCGGGGCUCAACCCCGGGAGGCGGAUGGAUACUGUCGAUCUAGAGUAUGGAAGAGGUGAGUGGAAUUCCGAGUGUAGAGGUGAAAUUUCGUAGAUAUUCGGAGGAACACCAGUGGCGAAGGCGGCUCACUGGUCCAUUACUGACGCUGAGGUGCGGAAAGCGUGGGGAGCAAACAGG